rnacentral:rRNA from 1 species
CGCGUGAGAAACCUGCCUUCCAUGGGGGGACAACAGUUAGAAAUGACUGCUAAUACCGCAUAANGUUUUCGAGGGGCAUCCCUUGAAACCAAAGCUUUAUGUGCUGAGAGAUGGCCUCGCGUCUGAUUAGCUAGUUGGCGGGGUAACGGCCCACCAAGGCGACGAUCAGUAGCCGGACUGAGAGGUUGAACGGCCACAUUGGGACUGAGAUACGGCCCAGACUCCUACGGGAGGCAGCAGUGGGGAAUAUUGGGCAAUGGGGGAAACCCUGACCCAGCAACGCCGCGUGAAGGAAGAAGGCCUUCGGGUUGUAAACUUCUUUUACCAGGGACGAAGACGUGACGGUACCUGGAGAAAAGCAACGGCUAACUACGUG